rnacentral:rRNA from 1 species
UGGGGAAUCUUGCGCAAUGGGCGAGAGCCUGACGCAGCGACGCCGCGUGAGUGAUGAAGGCCCUCGGGUUGUAAAGCUCUGUGGGGAGAGACGAAUAAGGGCCGGCUAAUACCCGGCUCGAUGACGGUAUCUCCUUAGCAAGCACCGGCUAACUCUGUGCCAGCAGCCGCGGUAAGACAGAGGAUGCAAACGUUGUUCGGAAUUACUGGGCGUAAAGCGCGUGUAGGCGGCUGCGCAAGUCGGAUGUGAAAUCCCGUGGCUCAACCACGGAAGUGCACCCGAAACUGCGUAGCUGGAGUCUCGGAGAGGAAGGUGGAAUGCUUGGUGUAGAGGUGAAAUUCGUAGAUAUCAAGCGGAACACCGGUGGCGAAGUCGGCCUUCUGGACGAUGACUGACGCUGAGACGCGAAAGCGUGGGGAGCAAACAG